AUUGAACGCUGGCGGCAUGCUUUACACAUGCAAGUCGAACGGCAGCGCGGGCUUCGGCCUGGCGGCGAGUGGCGAACGGGUGAGUAAUACAUCGGAACGUGCCCAGUAGUGGGGGAUAGCUCGGCGAAAGCCGGAUUAAUACCGCAUACGACCUGAGGGUGAAAGCGGGGGAUCUUCGGACCUCGCGCUAUUGGAGCGGCCGAUGGCAGAUUAGCUAGUUGGUGGGGUAAAGGCCUACCAAGGCGACGAUCUGUAGCUGGUCUGAGAGGACGACCAGCCACACUGGGGCUGAGAAACGGCCCAGACUCCUACGGGAGGCAGCAGUGGGGAAUUUUGGACAAUGGGCGAAAGCCUGAUCCAGCAAUGCCGCGUGUGUGAUGAAGGCCUUCGGGUUGUAAAGCACUUUUGGCGGGAACGAAAAGGACUGUGCCAAUACCACGGUUCGAUGACGGUACCCGCAGAAUAAGCACCGGCUAACUACGUG
rnacentral:rRNA from 1 species